rnacentral:rRNA from 1 species
AAUGGACGAAAGUCUGACGGAGCGACGCCGCGUGCGGGAUGAAGGCCCUUGGGUUGUAAACCGCUGUCAGAGGGGAUGAAUCGUUGGGGGUUAUCCCCCUUCGUUGACAAAGCCUCAGAGGAAGGGCGGGCUAAGUUCGUGCCAGCAGCCGCGGUAAUACGAACUGCCCGAACGUUAUUCGGAAUCACUGGGCUUAAAGGGUACGUAGGCGGUCUAAUAAGUCAGGUGUGAAAUCUCUCGGCUCAACCGAGAAACUGCGCUUGAAACUAUUAGGCUUGAGUAAGAUAGGGGUGAGCGGAACUGCUGGUGGAGCGGUGAAAUGUGUUGAGAUCAGCAGGAACGCCGGUGGCGAAAGCGGCUCACUGGGUCUUUACUGACGCUCAUGUACGAAAGCCAGGGGAGCGAACGGGAUU